GAUGAACGCUGGCGGCGUGCCUAAUACAUGCAAGUCGAGCGAACAGACGAGGAGCUUGCUCCUCUGAUGUUAGCGGCGGACGGGUGAGUAACACGUGGAUAACCUACCUAUAAGACUGGGAUAACUUCGGGAAACCGGAGCUAAUACCGGAUAACAUGUUGAACCGCAUGGUUCAACAGUGAAAGCCGGUCUUGCUGUCACUUAUAGAUGGAUCCGCGCCGCAUUAGCUAGUUGGUAAGGUAACGGCUUACCAAGGCAACGAUGCGUAGCCGACCUGAGAGGGUGAUCGGCCACACUGGAACUGAGACACGGUCCAGACUCCUACGGGAGGCAGCAGUAGGGAAUCUUCCGCAAUGGGCGAAAGCCUGACGGAGCAACGCCGCGUGAGUGAAGAAGGUCUUCGGAUCGUAAAACUCUGUUAUUAGGGAAGAACAAAUGUGUAAGUAACUAUGCACGUCUUGACGGUACCUAAUCAGAAAGCCACGGCUAACUACGUG
rnacentral:rRNA from 1 species